UGAACUUGACCUUUGAUUUUCUCCUUUGAAGGUCAUCUUCAGAGACUCUGUGUGGUGAGCUGGGCUGAAGAAGGAGACUCUUUCCCUGGACCCUGUGUUGGCUUGCUGAUACUUUCGGUUGAGGAGAUUAUCCAUUUGAGGAUAUGGGAGGAGACCUUGACUCAAGCCACUUUUCUGCCUCCCAAGCCCUGCCAAGCUCAUGAUGGAGGUUUAAUCAGCUGAGAAAAUUAUAAAUAUUGAAGAUCCAUGGGAGGAAGCUACUCAACUAAAAAGCAGCCGUGCCAUUCCCCUUGCAGACCAGAGGAGCAUCUGUAACUUCCUUUCUAAUAACAAAGAAGCCACGUUAAUUCAGGUUCUAGUCAUUCAGAAUUUUGAAUACAUUGUUCACGUGGAUGACUGUGAGAUAUCUUCACUGUGGUUCCUCUUUCCAUUGGUGCAGAACCCAGGAUGAUGCUGGUGCUGCUGGUGGUCAUCCCUUCAAGCAACAUUCCAUUUGGGGAGUUUGGAGGCGAUGGAGAAACAAAGAAACGAUGAAGGUGAGCAUCCUCCAACUGCUAACCUGGAAGGCAUGUUGUGUCUUCAUGUCAAUCUCCAUAGAGUGAAUUAACAUUUUGGAGACUGUGAUGAUAAAGCUGUGACAGAUGUGAGAUUUGAUUAGCACAGUUCAGAGCCCCUGCUGAUCCCUACACUGGAAAAAUGAAUACCUUGAGCAGUGUGAGCAAACCCAGAGCCAGAUUGAAAUUGUUUACAUGAAUGGAUCCAUGCCAUAAAGGAAUUUGAAGGGGAAAAUGUUUUAAAAUAUACUAGAGG